rnacentral:rRNA from 1 species
GUGUCAGCAGCCGCGGUAAUACGAAGGGGGCUAGCGUUGCUCGGAAUCACUGGGCGUAAAGGGUGCGUAGGCGGGUUUCUAAGUCAGAGGGGAAAGCCUGGAGCUCAACUCCAGAACUGCCUUUGAUACUGGAAGUCUUGAGUAUGGCAGAGGUGAGUGGAACUGCGAGUGUAGAGGGUAAAUUAGAAGAUAUUCGCAAGAACACCAGUGGCGAAGGCGGCUCAAUGGGCCAUUACUGACGCUGAGGCACGAAAGCGUGGG